rnacentral:rRNA from 1 species
UACAGAGGUCUCAAGCGUUGUUCGGAUUCAUUGGGCGUAAAGAGCGUGUAGGCGGCCGAGUAAGUCCGGUGUGAAAACUCGAGGCUUAACCUCGAGAUGUCAUCGGAAACUAUUCGGCUAGAGUCCGGAAGAGGAGAGUGGAAUUCCUGGUGUAGCGGUGAAAUGCGCAGAUAUCAGGAAGAACACCUAUGGCGAAAGCAGCUCUCUGGGACGGUACUGACGCUGAGACGCGAAAGCGUGGGGAGCGAACAGG